CAAUAGCGUAUAUUAAAGUUGUUGCAGUUAAAAAGCUCGUAGUUGAAUUUCUGAUAGAAGGGAGCGGUUCCGUAUUCUUACGGAUACUUGCUCGUCUUCCGUCAUCCUUGGGCUUAGUCUCGCUGAUAUUAACUUAUCGGCGUGUACGAUGCCCAUCGUUUACUGUGAGCAAAUUAGAGUGUUCAAAGCAGACUUAUGUCGUUGAAUAUAUUAGCAUGGAAUAAUAAGAUAGGACCUAGUGACUAUUUUGUUGGUUUGCGUUAUUAGGUAAUGAUUAAGAGGGACAGUUGUGGGUAUUCGUAUUCAGAUGUCAGAGGUGAAAUUCUUGGAUUUAUGAAAGACGAACUUCUGCGAAAGCAUUUGCCAAGGAUGUUUNCAUUAA
rnacentral:rRNA from 1 species